rnacentral:lncRNA from 1 species
AUGCUUAUGGCUGUGGAUGCUGUGUGGUGUGAGGAAUGCUGCUGUACACUGACUGUGUGGCAUGAGGAAUGCUGCUAUGCACUGACUGUGUGGUGUGAGGAAUGCUGCUGUGCAUUGACGCUGCCUUUUUUCUGCCUUUUUUCUCCCUACACCUGCAUCCUUCUGGUGGCUCAGGUUGGACAACUAGGUGCCCAUGACCAACUCCUCAUUGUGGAUGGAUUUAGUCUGGUUGGACUUUCUCAGGAAAGGGCAGCAGAACUCAUGACUAGUACCAGUCCCAUGGUUACCCUGGAAGUUGCAAAUCAAGGCAUCCUCUCUCACUGCCUGUCCACCUUUCUUACCCAGCCAUUGUCCUCCAUGGUGCAGAGAGUUAAGAGCUAGUGACUCAAGCCAGGUUAGCCAACAUAUAGUGAUGCUAUAUUGAGAUAUGGCUCCUCCUAAAAGUUAUCAAAAUCUGGGGCUGGAAAGAUGGUUCAGUAUUUUACAACACCAGUGUUAGCCCAAAACUGCCCGAAACUCUAAUUUCAUGGGAUUUAAAGCACUCUUCUAAGUUCUCUGGAUUCGUGUGCACACAUGCUGAGCAAACACUCAUACACAUAAAUUAUUUUUAUAAAGAGAGCCCCUAAAAUUCCCAUGUAGUAGCUCCUACCACAGCUCUUGCUCAGCUCUUCAAGGAAGAAGUUAGUUGAGACAGAGUGCAUGAUGCUGAGAAAUACUUCUGGAUCAUGAUUCAGAUCAGAUCUAAUGGUACGGUUUCCUAGAUAUAGUCACAGUCUGUUAAGUGCAGUAUUGUGAACCCUCUUCUGACCCUGACUCAGCUUUGGAACCUGAACACCCUAGCCCUGACCUUGUAGCUACAGUAUCAACAACAAUAUCAGUGUCUGACAGUCUAGAAUCCUGUAUACUAAAGCGUAGAACAGGAACCAAUCCUGGCUAGACCAUGUGUUGGCAUGUUAAAGCAGAACACCAUUUACAAACUCAAAGAGGGACGUGGGUAACAAAUGAGUCCCAGGUGAGCAGACAGGAAGACUAAACUGUGAACAGGUGUGGAUAAUCACACCAGGUGACAGCACCAUGUGAUGCUGUCAUUCUGAUGGAUAAUAAUAUGUGUGUUAUCAAGUGAGAGAAGAGAAGUUGAGUGCUUUUUAAAAAAUACUCUAAAAAGAUUACUUUGUUAUUUACAAAUUAUAAGUCAGAUUUGAGAAAAUAAAAAAGGUCAAUUCCUCCCAUAGAUACAUACUAUGUAAAUGAAAAGUUUUUCUAGACAAUAUAUGUAAAAGCUUUUGAAAAUGUUCAUAUAAAGCUAUUUGUGGUGGCAUGUGCCUUUAAUGCCAGCUCUAAGGAUGCAGAAAGAGGCAGAUUUCUGUGAGUUUGGGGUCCUCCUGCCUGUGUAGUGAAUUCAGACCAGCCUCAAAUACGUAGUGAGACCCUGGGCUAUGGUUUCUUCUGAUUGCUUGGUUGUUUUUGCUUUUUUAGGCUGGUCAAAGAAUGUAUAUAAAAGAUCACCCUAUUAUACAAGAGCAGUUAUUAAAUAUAAGAAUUUUAGAUGCAUCCUUUGAAGCUCUUCAUCUUGGAAAGAACGAGGGAGAGAGAAUGAAUGAAUUGGCUUUGGUUUCAGUUUCAGAUCGUUAUGGCUCAGGUAAACCCAGAACACAGAGUGAAGUUUUUAUGAGUUUUAUUUUUCUUGGAUAUUUUAUGUAUUUACAUUUCAAAUGUUACCCACUUCCCAUGCUCUCCCAACCCCCUGCCCCUGCUUCUAUGAGUAUGAUCACGCUCCCACCCACCCAUUCCCAUCUCAGUGCCCUGGCAUGAAGAUGCUUGCAGCUGAACAUUACACUGAAUAUGGGGACCCCAAUGGAGGAGUUAGAGAAAGAACUGAAGGAGCUGAAGGGGUUUGCAACCCCACAGGAAGAACAACAAUAUCAUCCAACCAGACCCCACAGCUACCAUGUAGGAAACCAUGAACUCAUGAGUACACAAGGAGGGAUCCAUGGCUCCAGCCACUUAUGUAGCAGAGGAUGGCAUUGUCCAUCAUCGAUAGGUGGAAGAGUAAAGGUUUUGAGCUCUAUAAUAAUUCAGCUCAAAACGGCUCCCCAGAGAGUCCUCAAAAGCCUUGGACAGAGCACAGUCAUCCAACGAAGCUGCCUGGUAAAGACAGGCUGAUGAAAAACAGAGCAGAUCACCUUUUCAGCCCCAAUGUGACAAGUAAGAAGAGGCAUUCUCUAAGUCACCUUGUCACCCAGAUCAUUGUUUAUACUUUGAUCAUUGUUUUUUGUGUCCCUUGGCCAGCUAGAAUACAGUUUUCAUAGAGGUUUCAUAUUAGUCCAAAAUUAGGAUUUUAUUUGGAAAACCCUUGACCUUAUAGAUCAAAAUGCACUGUAAAUGUGUCUUCAAAAUGGAUCGGAUUUCCAAGUUAGUGGAGAUCAUUUUUACACUUAAAAGAGUGGCUAACAAAGUAGUGAGGAUGGAGUAUACUGAAUAGAGACCCCAACGUCCAAAAGGCUUCAACCUCCAAAAGGCUUCAUGUAUUUACUCUCAUGUCUCUAGCACAUAUCUCAUCUGGUCCUGGAGAAAGUCCUUCUCCUGGUCUGUGGCGUCAGGAGACUUGUAGGGGUGCGUGAAGCCGACUUCUGGUACACAUUUGUCUCUGGCUCAGUGCUAAACAUCCUGCCCUCAGUGUAUGAUGGGUAUGCCAUGGCUCCUGCAUUUAAAGGAAUGUUGUUAUGUUUAUUUUACUUGUCAUUUAAUGUGACACUUGGGUUUUUAACACUAUUUCUAAUAGAUCAGCCUUCUAUCCCUGGAGAGAAGUGUGCAUAUACCACUAGAACAGCAGCUAACAUCUGUCUCCACUGGAGACCUCUGCACUGAGGUCUGAGAUGAGCUUGAACACUUUCUUACUUGUGAAAUAUCUGACUUCUUUGAUACAGUUCUCAACAAAUUACAUUAACUAUCAUUCCUGAAUUUUGGUCAUUUAAGUUUAUUUCUAUUACACUAGUCAAAUAAAUUAAUGAAUCGGGGAACAUGAGAAUUAGUGUAAAUGAGUAAAUAAGAAAAUUUAAGAUUUUUUUUUAUUGAAAGCAUAGGGUCAAAAUUACAUUUUUUAUCAUGGCUUUUAAAAUAUAU